GGUCAGUGAUGAGUGUUGGCAUGUAUUACCUGAUCUGGAACUGAUGUAUCACCACAUUAGCUCUAGAAUUACUCUGAGACCCA
ensembl:snoRNA